AACAAGAGUUUGUUCAUCGAGUAAUUUGUUGGAAUUUUCCUAGUAUUACGGUCUUUUAAGGAUUAAGAUGGUGAAUAAUCAAUAAUGUCAUAAAAAAUAACAUCUUCAUCUUGAUACUGCAAGGAUUUCAGGAAUGAUUGGAAUAAGGUCUUG